CAGUUUAUAGGAGGUAUGGGAUUCAGAGAUCUCGAACUUUACAAUCUUGCACUUCUAGCAAGGCAAGCAUGGAGGUUAAUGCAUGAUCCAUCUUCUUUAAGCUCGAGAAUUUUGAAAGCUGUCUACUAUCCAACUUGCUCUUUGUUGGAAGCAGAGCUGGGGUCGCACCCAUCUCAAAUAUGGAGAGCUAUCCUGGAUGGCAGGGACGUCAUGGCCCAAGGCAUCAUUUGGAGGAUUGGGCAUGGUGAGUCAACACACAUUUGGGAGCAAAACUGGAUACCUAGAGACAGCUACAGAAGGCCGUUACACUCGUUGAUCCCGAAUCCGCCACAGAGGGUUGGCGAGCUCAUUCAUACAGCUACUGCCUCCUGGAACGAGGAGCUGAUACGGUCUGUGUUCAUUCCGUUGGACGUGGAAGCCAUUCUUAAAAUUCCACUUUGCAUGAGGCGGAUAGACGACUUCUGGGCCUGGAGUGAGGAACCCCGAGGGAACUUUACUGUCAGCUCCGCUUACAGAAUGCUUGUCCGAACAAAGAUGAACCGGGAAGAUUGGUUAGAGGGGAGACAGGAAUCAUCUCAUGUAGCGGCAGAAGGGAAGACAUUGGAUGGAACUGUGGAAACUUCAGGUACCAUCGAAGCUUAG
rnacentral:rRNA from 1 species